AGCGGCGGACGGGUGAGUAACGCGUGGGUAACCUGCCCUGUACACACGGAUAACAUACCGAAAGGUAUGCUAAUACGAGAUAAUAUGCUUUUAUCGCAUGGUAGAAGUAUCAAAGCUUUUGCGGUACAGGAUGGACCCGCGUCUGAUUAGCUAGUUGGUAAGGUAACGGCUUACCAAGGCGACGAUCAGUAGCCGACCGGAGAGGGUGAUCGGCCACAUUGGAACUGAGACACGGUCCAAACUCCUACGGGAGGCAGCAGUGGGGAAUAUUGCACAAUGGGCGAAAGCCUGAUGCAGCAACGCCGCGUGAGCGAUGAAGGCCUUCGGGUCGUAAGGCUCUGUCCUCAAGGAAGAUAAUGACGGUACUUGAGGAGGAAGCCCCGGCUAACUACGUGCCAGCAGCCGCGGUAAUACGUAGGGGGCUAGCGUUAUCCGGAAUUACUGGGCGUAAGGGGUGCGUAGGUGGUUUCUUAAGUCAGAGGUGAAAGGCUACGGCUCAACCGUAGUAAGCCUUUGAAACUGGGAAACUUGAGUGCAGGAGAGGAGAGUGGAAUUCCUAGUGUAGCGGUGAAAUGCGUAGAUAUUAGGAGGAACACCAGUUGCGAAGGCGGCUCUCUGGACUGUAACUGACACUGAGGCACGAAAGCGUGGGGAGCAAACAGGAUUAGAUACCCUGGUAGUCCACGCCGUAAACGAUGAGUACUAGCUGU
rnacentral:rRNA from 1 species